rnacentral:rRNA from 1 species
GACGAACGCUGGCGGCGUGCCUAAUACAUGCAAGUAGAACGCUGAAGGAGGAGCUUGCUCUUCUGGAUGAGUUGCGAACGGGUGAGUAACGCGUAGGUAACCUGCCUGGUAGCGGGGGAUAACUAUUGGAAACGAUAGCUAAUACCGCAUAAGAGUAGAUGUUGCAUGACAUUUACUUAAAAGGUGCAAUUGCAUCACUACCAGAUGGACCUGCGUUGUAUUAGCUAGUUGGUGGGGUAACGGCUUACCAAGGCGACGAUACAUAGCCGACCUGAGAGGGUGAUCGGCCACACUGGGACUGAGACACGGCCCAGACUCCUACGGGAGGCAGCAGUAGGGAAUCUUCGGCAAGGGACGGAAGUCUGACCGAGCAACGCCGCGUGAGUGAAGAAGGUUGUCGGAUCGUAAAGCUCUGUUGUAAGAGAAGAACGAGUGUGAGAGUGGAAAGUUCACACUGUGACGGUAUCUUACCAGAAAGGGACGGCUAACUACGUG